UACGUAGGGUGCGAGCGUUAAUCGGAAUUCCUGGGCGUAAAGCGUGCGCAGGCGGUUCGUUGUGUCCGUCGUGAAAGCCCCGGGCUUAACCUGGGAACUGCAUUUGUGACUGCACAGCUGGAGUGCGGCAGAGGGGGAUGGAAUUCCGCGUGUAGCAGUGAAAUGCGCAGAUAUCAGGAGGAACACCGAUGGCGAAGGCAGGUCUCUGGGCCAUAACUGACGCUGAGAAGCGAAAGCAUGGGGAGCGAACAGG
rnacentral:rRNA from 1 species